AUUUAUUCUUUAAGUAAAAUCUUUAAUGACAAAUGAUUGAUAGCCGGCGAUAAAUCCUCUCGCUGGCAAUUGAAAUGCUUGGCCAGUAAAAGUUAUGCCGGGAAUCACCAAUUUUUCAUCUUCCCUCCAAUCUUUUUCCUUGUUCCCUCCUUCAAUUUUAUACAUUAGAGAGAUUUAAUUUUUCAAAUGUAGAUUGCAAUCUCUCUCGACUUAUGCUUGUGCAUUAGUCCAAAAAUUACUCUCUACCUCGCUUUAUCUCCCUCACUUCUCUCUCUACUCCUAUAAACAAACCAAAAUUCAACUAGCAAAAGGCUAGGGCUUGAAAACCACAUAGAAGAAUAAUAUCUAUCUUCUUCUAUCCUUAUAGAUUUUGUUCAAGAUUAUAUGUUGGUUGAUCCUUUUAUCAGUGGAGUUGCUGAGUUCCAUGAUAGGCAUAGAGACAUGAGGCUCGAUGUUGAUAACAUGUCCUAUGAGGAACUAUUGGCAUAGGAAGAACGUAUAGGAAAUGUAAACACAGUCUUGAGUGAAACCAUUUCGGUCCAUAUGAAACAGCGGAAGUACGAGUCUGUAUAUGGACGAUCCUCAUCAAACUUGGAGCCAUGCUGUAUAUGUCAGGGAAAGAAGAGAAUAUAAUUAGUCUUGCUUGUGAAACAUGUGAAGGGUCCAGGGAAUGAAGAGAAAGGAUACAAUUGUCAUUGAACUUGGUGAUAAUAGAUGUGAUGAGCAAAGAUUAGGAUGAACAAGGUUGUACAUUCAAAUUUGAGCAUUUGACAUUGGAGAUGUUCAAAAUAUUUGGCAUGUAAAAGAACUCAUUAUGAUUAAGAGUUGGAGAAAAUUUUAAGUCUAUUGUCUAGUAUAUUAUAGUUAUUUGAUAAGAUGCAAGAUGACACCAGCAAUUGUAUUCAAAUAAUUUACUCUUUUUGUUAUGUAGUUGACUCUAUUGAAAUUAUGAAUUAGUACUUGUUUUGGAUC